rnacentral:sRNA from 1 species
CUUUUGACCCGUUGCCUGUCCUGUUCUCUGUUGUUUCCCCAGCAUCUAGAACAAUAGGUGCCUGACACAAUAGGUGCUUCAUAAAUAUUUAUUAUUAUUAUUAUUAUUUUAGAGACAGGGUCUUGCUCUGUUGCCCCGGCUGGAAUACAGUGGGAUGAUCAUGGCUCACUGCCAUCUCCAACUCCUGGGCUCAAACGAUCCUCCCACCUCCGCCUACAGAGUAGCUGGGACUAUAGGUACACAGCACCAAAUUUUCUGUAGAGACGGGGGUCUUGCUUUGUAGCCCACACUAGUGUUGAACUCCUGGCCUCAAGUGAUCCUCCUGCCUUGAUAGGAUUACAGGUGUGAGCCACCACACCCAGCCUAAAUGUUUAUUUCACUGGUCAGUGUCAGAACUAGGAUUGGAAUUUAGAUUGUUAAUCUCUUGCCACAAGAUAGGAAAAUGGAGCAAGAUGAGGAGAAAAAAGCAUUUAAUGGGAGAGAACACCCUUGUCUGAGGUCAGGGACCUGGGAAGCAAGCACGACUUUGCUACUGUCACUGUGUGUUACUUGGACAGUGCCUUAUUUUCCCAUCUGUGCAAUAAAAGAGCUGGAUAAGAACCUUAGUUUUGAGAUCCUGUCUCCCUUAAAAGCUGAAGACAAAGGUAACUGAUCCAAGGGCAGACAAGGGAUGGUACCAUCAUCUCCAGCUUGGACUCCCACUGCUGACACAAUUUGUCCCUUCAAAGUUGAGAUAGCUACCAUGGGGAAGAGCACUUAGUUCUAUACUGAAUGGCUCCAGGCAUUUUCAUGAAAGCUCUUUCAGCUUUGGGGAAGAAUAUUCAUCCAUAUCUUUACCCCAUCAUAUUAGUGUCUAAGCCCUGCAAUCAGGCAUGUCAGCCACGUGAUGGAAUGGGAGGGCUGCAGGGCAGCACUGUCCAGUAGAAACGAAAUGCAAGCCACAUAUGUCAUUUUAAGUUUUCUUUUUUUGAGAUGGAGUUUCACUCUGUCACCCAGGCUGGAGUGCAGUGGCACGAUCUCGCCUCACUGCAACCUCCGCCUCCCUGCAACCUCCGCCUCCCAGGUUCAUGUGAUUCUCCUGCCUCAGCCUCCUGAGUAGCUGGGAUUACAGGCAUAUGCCACCAUGCCUGGCUAAUUUUUGUAUUUUUAGUAGAGAUGGGGUUUCACCAUGUUGGUCAGGCUGGUCUGGAACUACUGACCUCAGGCCACCCGCCUCGGCCUCCCAAAGUGCUGGGAUUACAGGCAUGAGCCACCGCACCCAGCUAAUUUUUGUAUUUUUAUUUUAUUUAUUUAUUUAUUUAUUGGGAGACGGAGUCUUGCUCUGUCACCCAGGCUGGAGUGCAGUUGUGUGAUCUUGGCUCACUGCAACCUCAGCCUCCCAAGUAGCUGGGAUUACAGGCAUGCACCAUCAUGCCCAGCUAAUUUUUGUAUUUUUAGUAGAGAUGGGGUUUCACUGUGUUGGCCAGGCUGGUCUUGAACUCCUGACCUCAGGUGAUCCACCGGCCUCAGCCUCCCAAAGUGCUGGGAUUAUAGGCGUGAGCCACUGCACCCGUCCUAAUUUUUGUGUUUUUAGUAGAGAUGGGGUUUCACCAUGUUGGCUAAGCUGGUCUGGAACUCAUGGCCUCAAGUUAUCUGCCCACCUCAGCCUCCCAAAGUGCUGAGAUUACAGCCAAGUUUUUUAAUAGCCACAUUAGACAAGUAAAAGGAAACAGGUUAAAUUCGUUUUAACAUGUUUUACUUAACCCAAUGUAUCCAAAAUAGCAUUUCAACAUGUCACCGGUUUUUUAGUUUUUUUUUUUUGAGAUAGUGCUUCGCUUUGUUGCCCAGGCUGGAGUGCAGUGGCACAAUCUCGGCUCACUGCAACCUCCACCUUCCAGGUUCAAGUGAUUCUCCUGCCUCAGCCUCCCGAGUAGCUGGGAUUACAGGCACCCGCCACCAUGCCCACUAAUUUUUGUAUUUUUGGUUAGAGAUGGGUUUUCGCCAUGUUGGCCAGGCUAGUCUCAAACUCCUGACCUCAGGUGAUCCACCCACCUCAGCCUCCCAAAGUGCUAGGAUUACAGGCGUGAGGCACCGUGCCUGGCGUCAUCGGUAUUAUUUAAAUGAAUUAUGUUACGUUCUUUUAUGCUGUCUUCAAAAUCUGUUGUAUGUUUUACACUUACACCAAAUCUCAAUUACCAUGGUACAUUUUUAUCUGAAAUGCUUGACCUUUAUUUUGAUUUCAUAAAAUUCAUAGUUGGAGAAGUAGAUUCACAUAUCCAAGUUGUUCCAAUUAUAUAAUAGUUUUCCAAAAACUGAGAUGGGUGUCCAUUUUUUUUUAAGUGAAGAUGCAGGUCUGGUUAUGUUGACCAAGUUGGUGGGUUGUUUUGUUUUGUUUUGAGACAGAGUCUCACUUUGUCACCCAGGCUGGAGUGCAGUGGCAUGACCUCAGCUCACUGCAACCUCUGCCUCCCAGGUUCAACUGAUUCUCUUGCAUCAUCCUCCUGAGUAGCUGGGACUACAGGUGUGUGCCACCAUGCCUGGCUAAUUUGGGUAUUUUUCUCAGAGACGGGGUUUCACCGUGUUGGGCAUGCUGGUCUUGAACUGCUGACCUCAGGUGAUCCGCCCACCUCGGCCUCCCAAAGUGCUAGGAUUACAUAGUGAGCCACCAAGCUGGUUUUGAACCCCUGGCCUCAAGUGAUCCUCCCACCUCAGCCUUCCAAAGUGCUGGUAUUACAGGCAUGGGCCACCACACCUGGCCUCAGCUGUUCAAUUAAAAGUAAAUAAAACUUAAAAUUCUAUGUUUCAUUGGCAGUAGUGCAACAUUAAUACUGGGUAGCCACAUGUGAUUAGUGGCUAUGGUAUUGGACAGGGAAGGUACAGAAUACUUCCAUCAACAUAGAAAAUUCUAUCAGUCUAGCUCUAGGGGCAGAUAGUCCUUCAACUGACUUGGGCAAGUCACUCUACAAAUGGCAUCUACCUCACAUGGUUAUGGUGAGAAUUCAGCGUAUGUAUGUACAUGCAGGCACACAAUAUGCACACAGACACAUAACAUAGUACACCCUUUCCUGAAAAGCCUGACACAUGGAGCUCAAACAUGAGUGCCACCCACCCCUGGGCAGCACCAAGAUGGCUCUAGUCUGGGUGCCUUUGUCUCACCCCCAUGCCUUUGCUCGGAGUGUGCUCCUCAUUUUUCUGCCACUUUGACCCUGUCUCUGAUUUGGUCCUGUCUGACAUCACUGCUAUAUGCUUUGCUCCUCUCAAUUUCCUCUGCCCUCAUGCCAGCAGGAGUCAUGCCAGAGAUCAUAUCUGAGAAAGCAAGACAAUUUUGUGUGUGUGUCUGUGCCCAUAGAGGAGUGCUGGUUGUGUUGAUAUAGUUGUAGAUUGGUUGUGUUUACACAGUUGUAUAUAUUGACACCCUUGAGUGUUAUGACUUCUUUUGGGGGUGGUCGCCUUUUAAAUCAUGACUUUUGAUGGGAUUCCAUUUUAGUCUUUGUGAAGACAUAAGGUUGUUGGCAGGCAUCUGUCCCUGGGAGCAUCCAAGCAGAAAAGACUAAGACUCCCUUGUAGACAGAUCACUGGCCGCCACUGAAGUGUGUCUGCAUGGCACCACAGGGCUGGAUGACCCUUGAAGGCAGGAAUUCAAGGAAAUGUAUGAUGAAUUUUGGCAUUGCCAUCAAAAGCAGAACAGGCAUGGAAAACUUGGGUGAGUGGGCGAGACAACCUCCUCACCACAGCAGAGUUCCAUCCAUGCCUGGAUAAUGAUGGAGGGAUUUGUGUCCACUGCAGUGGGGAACCAUGAAGGACACAUCAAGGGUGUGGUUGGCCUGUGGUGCUCUUUGGAGGAAUGAAUAAAAAUGAAUAGAAAUCCUA